rnacentral:rRNA from 1 species
UACGGGGGGAGCAAGCGUUGUUCGGAUUUACUGGGCGUAAAGGGCGCGUAGGCGGCCACCGCAAGUCGGUUGUGAAAUCUCUGGGCUUAACCCAGAAAGGUCAACCGAUACUGCGGGGCUAGAGUGCAGAAGGGGCAACUGGAAUUCUCGGUGUAGCGGUGAAAUGCGUAGAUAUCGAGAGGAACACCAGAGGUGAAGACGGGUUGCUGGGCCGACACUGACGCUGACAGCGCGAAAGCCAGGGGAGCAAACGGG